GCGGGUGUAGCACAGUGGUUAGUGCGUCUGCCUUCCAAGCAGAUUACGGCGGUUCGACUCCGCUCACCCGCU
rnacentral:tRNA from 1 species